rnacentral:rRNA from 1 species
AGGGAAUAUUAGUAAUGGGCGAAAGCCUGAACUAGCAACGCCACGUGUGCGAAGAAGGCCUUCGGGUUGUAAAGCACUUUUUGAGAGGAUGAGGAAGGACGGUACUCUCAGAAUAAGUCUCGGCUAACUACGUGCCAGCAGCCGCGGUAACACGUAGGAGGCAAACGUUAUCCGGAUUUACUGGGCGUAAAGCGCGUGUAGGUGGUUUGGUAAGUAGGGCGUGAAAGCUCCUGGCUCAACUGGGAGAGGCCGUUCUAAACUGCCGAACUAGAGGAUGGUAGAGGGAGGUGGAAUUCCGGGUGUAGCGGUGGAGUGGGCAGAUAUCCGGAGGAACACCAGUGGCGAAAGCGGCCUCCUGGACCAUUCCUGACACUCAGACGCGAAAGCUAGGGUAGCAAACGG